CAGUCGCCGCGGUAACACGUAGGGUGCGAGCGUUAAUCGGAAUUACUGGGCGUAAAGCGUGCGCAGGCGGUUAUAUAAGACAGAUGUGAAAUCCCCGGGCUCAACCUGGACCUGCAUUUGUGACUGUAUAGCUAGAGUACGGUAGAGGGGGAUGGAAUUCCGCGUGUAGCAGUGAAAUGCGUAGAUAUGCGGAGGAACACCGAUGGCGAAGGCAAUCCCCUGGACCUGUACUGACGCUCAUGCACGAAAGCGUGGGGAGCAAACAGGAUUAGAUACCCGCGUAGUCCCUGUCUCUUAUACA
rnacentral:rRNA from 1 species